AUUGAACGCUGGCGGUAGGCCUAACACAUGCAAGUCGAACGAGUGGCGGACGGGUGAGUAAUGUCUGGGAAACUGCCUUAUGGAGGGGGAUAACUACUGGAAACGGUAGCUAAUACCGCAUACCAUCAGAUGUGCCCAGAGGGGAUUGGCUAGUUGGUGGGGUAACGGCUCACCAAGGCGACGAUCCCUAGCUGGUCUGAGAGGAUGACCAGCCACACUGGAACGGAGACACGGUCCAGACUCCUACGGGAGGCAGCAGUGGGGAAUAUUGCACAAUGGGCGCAAGCCUGAUGCAGCCAUGCCGCGUGUAUGAAGAAGGCCUUCGGGUUGUAAUGUACUUUCAGCGGGGAGGCGUUACCCGCAGAAGAAGCACCGGCUAACUCCGUGCCAGCAGCCGCGGUAAUAC
rnacentral:rRNA from 1 species